GGUCACUGAAUAUUCAUUUGUAGCUAUCCUUCAGUAUUCAUUCAGCUAAACAUUGUUUGCAGAUACAAAUAGAGAGUCAUAGCAUCUAUCAAUAUAUAUACACAUAUGUAUAUAUUUAUGUAUAUAUCUUUACUUGUGUAGGCGUGAGCCUGUUAAAUGAAAAAA
rnacentral:ribozyme from 1 species